rnacentral:rRNA from 1 species
AUUGAACGCUGGCGGCAGGCCUAACACAUGCAAGUCGAACGAGUGGCGGACGGGUGAGUAAUGUCUGGGAAACUGCCUGAUGGAGGGGGAUAACUACUGGAAACGGUAGCUAAUACCGCAUACCAUUGAAUCGGCCCCGAUGGGAUUAGCUAGUUGGUGGGUUAAAGGCUCACCAAGGCGACGAUCCCUAGCUGGUCGGAGAGGAAGACCAGUCACACUGGAACUGAGACACGGUCCAGACUCCUACGGGAGGCAGCAGUGGGGAAUAUUGCACAAUGGGCGCAAGCCUGGUGCAGCCAGGCCGCGUGUAUGAUGAAGGCCUUCGGGUUGUAAAGUACUUUUAGCGGGGAGGCGUUACCCGCAGAAGAAGCACCGGCUAACUCCGUGCCAGCAGCCGCGGUAAUUC